CCUUGGUAUACAGAUCACUCUGACUGGUGGUUAGAGUUUCAGGCGCAUGUCCCUCAGCUUCAAUUCCAACACUCUGAUCUGCAGGCAUUGACAUCUCCUCAUCAUCUCUAACUUCAUGAGUGAAGUGUGUAGUGAACAAUCAGGCUCCUGUGAUGCUUCUGGUCUAUGACGAUCUACUUCCCCAACUGUAAGUGGGAGGAACCCACAAGGCAAGAAACCGGCACUUUGAAAGACCCAUGGGCGGGGCUCGUCAUGAUAUAGCUGCAAAACAAGAGGCCACCAGGCAAACUUGAAUGAAAGGAUGGCUCUACUAGCAGGGGCUCACCUGAAACUGUUGGGACAUUCCUUGCAUAUCCGGUCAAGACCACCUUUUCCCCUGCUGAGACGGUGAUGCACUUUUUGCUCUGCAGUUUCACUCUUCCAACUCUGCCAUUUUGUUGAUGGAUUUUGUGUCUGAUAUACAGAUGGUUCACGAGAGGUGAGUAAGCUCCAUCCCCUGUCUUGUUGCGAGCCUGUUUGUCCUGGUGUGAUAUGCACUUUUCAUACAGAAUGUCCAGUGUGUUGGUUCCUGUUAGCACAAGAAUCUCCAUGUUUGUUCCGCAGUUAGGCACAAUGAGCACCAGAGUAUUAACUUCUUCAGGCUCUCCUGUUAUAUUUUCAGGGGAGAGAAUGCUGACCUCAAUGUAGCCAAGAUAGGGCACUUCUUGACCACCAGCACCCUCUAUAUCCAAGAGGUCAUUGAGAGGUAAAAUUGGCUGAUGUGACAGGUGACUCUCAUAGAAGGACUUUGAUCCUGUGGUCACCUGUAAGCCUGUAUCGAGGAGGCUGUUAGAAUGAGAUCCUUCGAUGGUGACAGUUGCAGUGCAUUUAGGCCCUAUCAAUCCUCUAGGGAGGACAUCAGUAGAUGAUGGAACUGGUGUAUGGCCUUCACAGUUCACUUUUUCUUGAUUUUGUGUGGGACUUGGCAUGGUGUCAGGGGGUCCAGUUCGUCCGUCUACUGGGACCCGGUCCAGUUUAAAUUACCAUAUUUGGCUUUCCAUUCAUCUUGUCUUGCUUUCAGUUCUUUGUAUUUCUGAUCCACGAAUGGUUUAUUUGGAGGAUUUUCACACAGUCUGGCUAUGU